CCCACAAGUACAACACACAUGACAAGAUUUAACUAUGAAAAGUAACCUGGUUGGUGCUAAAAAACCUAUGGUGUAAUGAGUUUUACAAAUAAAAGAUUCUGACUGUAAUUAUUGAAGUUUCGUUGCAAUCUGAUAUUAAGGACAAAAAGUGUAAUUUACCCUAAAAAAAAUAUUUUUGUUAGAAUGCCCUUUUUGAUACUCGAGUUCUUGACGUUGCUUUGAAGUUAUGAAAUUCGUCAUUAAGCUUUAUUUUUAUGUCAUGCUUUAUGUUUUGUUCAGAUACGAUUGUGCAUUUCGUGCUUAAAUGGCAUGUAUAGUUUGAUAUCUAUCAUGUUUAUGUGAUGGCUUAUUGUACACACAAGCUGUUUGAUAAAAUGCUUCAACCAAACUACUUCAAUUUGAUGAGGACGGUAAGAAAAGAAAACCUUUCCCUUGGUAUUUUCUUACUCGAAGCGAGCCCAUCUUUCGUUCUGUAAUCAUUUCGUUUUGUAACGUCAGGAGUCUUGACGACGCACUCGAGGAAGAACAUUGAACUUACCUAUGUGCAGCUCAACAGAGGAAAGAUGCCGACGCAGACAAGAAACAAAGAAAAGCGAGACAGAUCUGUGAACAUUUAUUUCACACAAGUUUGGGGAAAGACCUGUUCAUUUAAAUUGGACUGCAGGAAAGUGAGAAUUGGACUGAAGAUAAGCAUUUAGAAAAUGUACUCAAAAUCAAUAAAUAAAUAUUUUUUAAUUUAAACAAGGCUCUUAAGCAUGACCUCUAAAUUAAGAAAUAAUAAUCUGUGAAGUUGGACUAUUUUUACAAGACAAAAGCAUCAAGACAUUAUACAUUGUAUCAUAUAAUGAUCAAGAUACUUGUCGCUAGGUGUAAGUAAGCGGAAAUUUUCAUGUAAAAUUGGAUUAUUUUACAAUAAGCGAUUACCUUGUUUUCAACUACCACAAUAAGUAAUCACCUCCCA